AGAGUUUGAUCAUGGCUCAGGACGAACGCUGGCGGCGUGCCUAACACAUGCAAGUCGAGCGAGAAAGUCUCCUUCGGGAGGUGAGUAAAGCGGCGAACGGGUGAGUAACACGUGAGCGAUCUACCCGGCGGCGGGGGAUAACUCAGGGAAACCUGAGCUAAUACCGCAUACAGCACCGGCUUGGAAGCCGGAGGUGAAAGUUGGCCUCUCGACGAAGCUGACACCGUUGGAUGAGCUCGCGGCCUAUCAGCUGGUUGGUGGGGUAACGGCCUACCAAGGCGAUGACGGGUAGCUGGCGUGAGAGCGUGGCCAGCCACACUGGGACUGAGACACGGCCCAGACUCCUACGGGAGGCAGCAGUGGGGAAUAUUGCGCAAUGGGCGAAAGCCUGACGCAGCGACGCCGCGUGGGGGAGGAAGGCCCCAGGGUUGUAAACCCCUGUCAGGUGGGACGAACCACGGAUCGGUCAAUACCCGGUCCGCCUGACGGUACCACCAGAGGAAGCUCCGGCUAACUCCGUGCCAGCAGCCGCGGUAAUACGGAGGGAGCGAGCGUUGUUCGGAAUCACUGGGCGUAAAGGGCGCGUAGGCGGUCGGGUAAGUCGGGUGUGAAAUUCCGGGGCUCAACCCCGUGAACUGCAUCCGAUACUGCUCGACUAGAGAGAGGUAGGGGCGAGUAGAAUUCCCGGUGUAGCGGUGGAAUGCGUAGAUAUCGGGAAGAACACCGGUGGCGAAGGCGGCUCGCUAGGCCUCAUCUGACGCUGAAGCGCGAAAGCGUGGGGAGCCAACAGGAUUAGAUACCCUGGUAGUCCACGCCGUAAACGAUGGGUACUAGGUGUUGGGAGGAUUGACCCUUUCAGUGCCGACGCUAACGCAUUAAGUACCCCGCCUGGGGAGUACGGCCGCAAGGCUGAAACUCAAAGGAAUUGACGGGGGCCCGCACAAGUGGUGGAGCAUGUGGUUUAAUUCGAAGCAACGCCAAGAACCUUACCUGGGCUUGACAUGUUGGUAGUACUUCCCUGGAAACAGGGGGGGACCCUUCGGGGAGCCAUCACAAGUGCUGCAUGGCUGUCGUC
rnacentral:rRNA from 1 species